rnacentral:rRNA from 1 species
AGAUCCUGAAACCGUGUGCCUACAAAUAGUCAGAGCCCGUUAAUGGGUGAUGGCGUGCCUUUUGUAGAAUGAACCGGCGAGUUACGAUCCCGUGCGAGGUUAAGUUGAAGAGACGGAGCCGCAGCGAAAGCGAGUCUGAAUAGGGCGUUUAGUACGUGGUCGUAGACCCGAAACCAGGUGAUCUACCCAUGUCCAGGGUGAAGUUCAGGUAACACUGAAUGGAGGCCCGAACCCACGCACGUUGAAAAGUGCGGGGAUGAGGUGUGGGUAGCGGAGAAAUUCCAAUCGAACCUGGAGAUAGCUGGUUCUCCCCGAAAUAGCUUUAGGGCUAGCCUUAAGUGUAAGAGUCUUGGAGGUAGAGCACUGAUUGAACUAGGGGUCCUCAUCGGAUUACCGAAUUCAGUCAAACUCCGAAUGCCAAUGACUUAUCCUUAGGAGUCAGACUGCGAGUGAUAAGAUCCGUAGUCAAGAGGGAAACAGCCCAGAUCGCCAGCUAAGGUCCCAAAGUGUGUAUUAAGUGGAAAAGGAUGUGGAGUUGCUUAGACAACUAGGAUGUUGGCUUAGAAGCAGCCACCAUUUAAAGAGUGCGUAAUAGCUCACUAGUCGAGUGACUCUGCGCCGAAAAUGUACCGGGGCUAAAUACACCACCGAAGCUGCGAAUUGAUACCAAUGGUAUCAGUGGUAGGGGAGCGUUCUAAGUGCAGUGAAGUCAGACCGGAAGGACUGGUGGAGCGCUUAGAAGUGAGAAUGCCGGUAUGAGUAGCGAAAGACGGGUGAGAAUCCCGUCCACCGAAUGCCUAAGGUUUCCUGAGGAAGGCUCGUCCGCUCAGGGUUAGUCAGGACCUAAGCCGAGGCCGACAGGCGUAGGCGAUGGACAACAGGUUGAUAUUCCUGUACCACCUCUUUAUCGUUUGAGCAAUGGAGGGACGCAGAAGGAUAGAAGAAGCGUGCGAUUGGUUGUGCACGUCCAAGCAGUUAGGCUGAUAAGUAGGCAAAUCCGCUUAUCGUGAAGGCUGAGCUGUGAUGGGGAAGCUCCUUAUGGAGCGAAGUCUUUGAUUCCCCGCUGCCAAGAAAAGCUUCUAGCGAGAUAAAAGGUGCCUGUACCGCAAACCGACACAGGUAGGCGAGGAGAGAAUCCUAAGGUGUGCGAGAGAACUCUGGUUAAGGAACUCGGCAAAAUGACCCCGUAACUUCGGGAGAAGGGGUGCUUUCUUAACGGAAAGCCGCAGUGAAUAGGCCCAAGCGACUGUUUAGCAAAAACACAGGUCUCUGCGAAGCCGUAAGGCGAAGUAUAGGGGCUGACACCUGCCCGGUGCUGGAAGGUUAAGGAGAGGGGUUAGCGUAAGCGAAGCUCUGAACUGAAGCCCCAGUAAACGGCGGCCGUAACUAUAACGGUCCUAAGGUAGCGAAAUUCCUUGUCGGGUAAGUUCCGACCCGCACGAAAGGUGUAACGAUUUGGGCACUGUCUCAACCAGAGACUCGGUGAAAUUAUAGUACCUGUGAAGAUGCAGGUUACCCGCGACAGGACGGAAAGACCCCGUGGAGCUUUACUGUAGCCUGAUAUUGAAUUUUGGUACAGUUUGUACAGGAUAGGCGGGAGCCAUUGAAACCGGAGCGCUAGCUUCGGUGGAGGCGCUGGUGGGAUACCGCCCUGACUGUAUUGAAAUUCUAACCUACGGGUCUUAUCGACCCGGGAGACAGUGUCAGGUGGGCAGUUUGACUGGGGCGGUCGCCUCCUAAAGUGUAACGGAGGCGCCCAAAGGUUCCCUCAGAAUGGUUGGAAAUCAUUCGUAGAGUGCAAAGGCAUAAGGGAGCUUGACUGCGAGACCUACAAGUCGAGCAGGGACGAAAGUCGGGCUUAGUGAUCCGGUGGUUCCGCAUGGAAGGGCCAUCGCUCAACGG